rnacentral:piRNA from 1 species
CCCACUAAUCUAAGGUGUAAAAGGUGUGGC